rnacentral:rRNA from 1 species
CCUACGGGAGACAGCAGUCGAGAAUCAUUCACAAUGGGGGAAACCCUGAUGGUGCGACGCCGCGUGGGGGAAUGAAGGUCUUCGGAUUGUAAACCCCUGUCAUGUGGGAGCAAAUUAAAAAGAUAGUACCACAAGAGGAAGAGACGGCUAACUCUGUGCCAGCAGCCGCGGUAAUACAGAGGUCUCAAGCGUUGUUCGGAAUCACUGGGCGUAAAGCGUGCGUAGGCUGUUUCGUAAGUCGUGUGUGAAAGGCGCGGACUCAACCCGCGGACGGCACAUGAUACUGCGAGACUAGAGUAAUGGAGGGGGAACCGGAAGUCUCGGUGUAGCAGUGAAAUGCGUAGAUAUCGAGAGGAACACUCGUGGCGAAGGCGGGUUCCUGGACAUUAACUGACGCUGAGGCACGAAGGCCAGGGGAGCGAAAGGGAUUAGAUACCCCUGUAGUC